CAUUCUGAUUCUUCCAAUCCUCCAAAUAUUGUCGUGCAGUACCAAGUCAUGUGAAAGGAAGAGGAUUGUAUAAUAUGUAUCAGCUGAAAACAAGGUUUCAUUGGAAACAAUGCACAAAUUUUAAUCAGAUAUAAGAUACACACACCUGCACACAAGAAUUGGUGAAUACUUCCAGCAUCUUCAAAAGAAUCAUGUCAUGUGUAAUUGGAACAGCAACAAGUACAACAGCUAACCACAGUGGACAAAGAAAGAUCACCAUGGAGGAAAUUAUGCUCACCAAAAAGUCAUCUUCAGAGACUAUUGUUAGCAAAGAAGCAGAGAAAAAAAUAUAUUCACCCCUAAUCCUUUCUGUAAUCCCCGUGUGCACUUCAUCCUACCAUCUCUUCCAAAAUUCUGCCUGCGUGUUGUGUAAGCAGGUGUCUCUCACUUUCUCUCAUUCUCACACUACAGCCAUAUCUUUAUGUGAAAAUGGAUCUAGUACUUUUCCAGCAUAUAUGGCAAACAAACUCCUCUCAGGCUUCCUGCUGGGUAUAGGUGUCGAUUAUAAGCAUGCUUCAAUGACAAACUCUGCCAUCUUCAUCGGGGUAUGUCUAGUACAGUGUUAUAUAUACCCCCAUCAUCCAUCCUUCCUCAUUGGUUAGUCCUCAUCCAAUCAGGUUUCCACUGUCCCACUAUGUUUACAAUCAAAUUCCAGUUCUUACUUAGAGUGAGACCUUUGUAUUUAUUAGAAUUCUUUUCCUCUAAUUUUAUUUCAAUGAUUUCGUUCGCCAGGGUGGUCUAAAAGCCAUUGGCGUGGCCCAGUAGUUUUGUGCCAUCAAAGUCACCCCUAUGGCCAUUGCAAAUGCAAUGUUCUUUAGAUCUUUAUGUCUUUUUCCUUUCAAUAGCUAAAUGUUUAAAAUGGUUUGUAAUCUAGAACGAUAUUAGAAACAGAAGUAUCCUUCUACCAGAAGUGGGAAAAGGAAAAUACAUGUACCAGCUACUCAUGUGAACAUGGUUCUUUAUUAGUAUGAAUAUAAAGAACACAACAUGGUGUCAGAGGUCGGUCUGGAAGAAUAAUAUGUUUCCUAACAUGGGAGAAUCGAAGAUAAUUUUCUGAAAAAAGAGUUUGAAUUGGUUUGGUGUUGCUAACAGUUUUCCAAAUGGAAGGUUUACAGCCUCCAUCGACACUUCAAUUGUCUGGGAACGCAGCUGAGAACUGGAGAAAAUUUAAGCAGCAUUUUGAAUUGCAUUUAUUAGCAAUCGAAGCGGAUAGAAAACCAGAAAAAAUGAAAGCUGUGCUUCUACGCCACUUAAUAGAUGACGACGCAAUUGAGGUAUAUAAUCAUUUUAUUUUCGAAGAUAGAGAUAAUUUAAAAUUGGAAUCGAUAAUAGACAAAUUUGAAUAAUUUUGUAUAAGGAAGCAUGAUGCUUCGGAAACAGUGACGUCACAGGCUAAAGGGCUAAACAAAACCAACAGCGAGCAAGACGUCAUCUGAGAGGAAAAAGCUAUAUGAUCGCUGUGGGUGGCAGCACCGGCCAAAACAGUGUCCAGUGUAUGGGAAAAUGUACAACGACUGCGAUACCGUUUUCAUCAGCUUCUGUUUGGAAUUGCAUCAGCUCCUGAAGUGUACCAUAAAACCACUUGCAUGCUAUAUGAGCGCAUUGAGGGCAUGAAUACUUCCAUGGAUGAUAUUAUUGUUUGGGGAUCAUCUAAACAAGAGCAUGCUGCCAGACUCAGACAAGCCUUUGAGGCAAUACGCAAGUUUUUUUCCAGACAUGGUGUACCUGAUGAAGUUUUCAGAGACAAUCAUCCACAAUUCAAUGGUGAAUGCAUGAGGCUCUUUGCUCAGGAAUGGGGCUUUGUUCAUACAACAUCUAGUCCAUUUUUCCCUCAGUCCAAUGGAUUAGCUGAGAAGUCAGUAGGAAUUAACAAGAAACGGAUACACAAAGCAAAAGAUAAUGGAGGUGAUUUUGAUAAAGCUUUGUUAGCCUAUCACAGUACUACACUUGAAUGCAGAUAUUCACCUGCUCAGCUCUUGAUGGGACGCUGUUUGAGAUCCAAUCUGCCAAUAGAUGAGAGCCUUCUGAGAACAGAGGGUUGAACAAGUGAAAAGAUGGAAAGAUGAACACAAAGCAAAGCAGAAAAUAUACUUUGACAGAUGUUCUCGUCUGUUACCGGAAGUGCACCAAGGAGAUGAAGUAAGGUUAGAAGACAAAAUGAACACAUGGACAUAGAAAGCUACAGUAGUUGAAGAAGUACAUCCCAGAUCAUACAUGAUCCAAACAGAAGAAGGAGCAGUGUUAAGAAGAAAUUGCAAAGACCUCAAGAAAGAGCCAAUUUUCAGAGUUUCAGUUAACUGAUGCAGACCAGACAAAACAUGAAAAUAACAAUGAGACACAAGAACUGUGUGAACCACUUAGAAGGUCUACUCAUGUUCAUAAACGCCCAGAGAGACUGAUAGAGACCUGUUAAAUAAUGCAUUUGCUUUGGUCAAUGUUGUUAAUUGUUUUUCUUUUUAAGGACAGGAAGAUGUGGUGAUAUGACGUGUAAGAAUGUGAUUGGAGAGAGUUCUGAGCAUGCGCAAAAAUGAUAGAAAGAUCAAGAAAACAGAAAACAUGGUAUUGUAAACACGUGUGGUUGUUGUUAAAUAAAAAUUCUAUUUCUUCCAGAACAUGGUUCUUUAUUAGUAACUCACAGUACAUAUGAAUAUAAAGAAUACAACUGAUACAACCAUUGUUGGUAAGAUCUCAGGUGGUAACGAGAGGGCAUACAGGAGUGAGAUAUGACAACUAGUGGAAUGGUGCAACAGCAACACCCUGGUACUCAGUGUCAGUAAGACGAAAGAGCUAAUUGUGGACUUCAGGAAGGGUAAGAUGAAGGAACACAUACCAAUCCUCAUAGAGUGAUCAGAAGUGGAGAGAGUGAGCAGCUUCAAGUUCCUUGGUGUCAAGAUCUCUGAGGAUCUAACCUGGUCCCAAAAUAAUCGAUGUAGUCAUAAAGAAGACAAGACAGCAGCUCUGCUUUUUAGGAGCUUGAAGAGAUUUGACAUGUCAACAAAUACAUCCAAAAACUUCUAUAGAUGUACCGUGGAGAACAUUCUAACAGGCUGCAUCACUGUCUGGUAUGGAGGGGCUACUGCACAGGACUGAAGGAAGCUGCAGAAGGUUGUAAAUCUAGUCAGUUCCAUCGUGGGCACUAGCCUACAAAAUACCCAGGACAUCUUUAGGGAGCGGUGUCUCAGAAAGGCAGCAUUCAUUAUUAAGGACCUCCCGCACCCAGGGCAUGCCCUUUUCUCACUGUUACCAUCAAGUAGGCGAUACAGAAGCCUGAAGACACACACUUAGCAAUUCAGGAACAGCUUCUUCUCCUCUGCCAUCUGAUUCCUAUAUGCAUAUUGAAGCUUUGAACACUACCUCACUUUUUUAAAUAUAUAUUAUUUCUGUUUUUGCACAUUUUUAAAAAUCUAUUCAAUAUACAAAAUUGAUUUACUUGUUUAUUUAUUAUUAUGUUUUAUUUUAUUUAUUAUUAUUUUCUCUCUCUCUGUUAGAUUAUGUAUUGUACUGAACUGCUGCUGCUAAGUUAACAAUUUUCACAUUACAUGCUGGUGAUAAUAAACCCGAUUCUGAUUCUGGAAGUUCAUUACUUAGGAGACAGAAUUAACUGGAUUCUGGUCUAACUGCACAAGAAGCAUAGCAUUAGUCUGUGACACAUGUUGUCCUUAUUAUGUUCAAGGCUUCACAGGGC